rnacentral:rRNA from 1 species
GACGAACCGUGCGAACGUUAUUCGGAAUCACUGGGCUUAAAGCGCGUGUAGGCGGGUCGGCACGUCGGACGCUGAAAUCCCCCGGCUCAACCGGGGAACCGGCGGCGAUACGACCGACCUGGAGGGGCGUAGGGGGACCUGGAACUUCCGGUGGAGCGGUGAAAUGCGUUGAGAUCGGAAGGAACGCCCGUGGCGAAAGCGAGGUCCUGGACGCCAACUGACGCUGAGACGCGAAAGCCAGGGGAGCGAACGGG